rnacentral:lncRNA from 1 species
AAAAAAAAAAGUUGAACAUUCAAGAUUAGUGAUGGAGCGGGUCGGCAAACCAAAUUGUAUACCGAGAGUUUUUUUUUCUCCAGAUGACAUACAUAGACGCUUGAACAGCGAGCUUAUAAGAAUCAAGACAAUGUUUGGCUCUCUUGUAGGGUCUUAAUCAUCUGAUGCUAUUCUCAAACUUAGUAGGAGGCAAGAGAUAUGCUUUGUUGGUAAAGAAAAGACCAUACCUGUUUUGAAGAAGGGCAAUCAGAGAAAAUAUGUUUCUCAUUUCAGC